rnacentral:rRNA from 1 species
CUACGGGCCGCUGCAGUAGGGAAUAUUGCACAAUGGGCGAAAGCCUGAUGCAGCAACGCCGCGUGCGCGAUGAAGGCCUUCGGGUUGUAAAGCGCUUUUCUGAGGGAAGAGGAAGGACUGUACCUCAGGAAUAAGUCUCGGCUAACUACGUGCCAGCAGCCGCGGUAACACGUAGGAGGCAAGCGUUAUCCGGAUUUACUGGGCGUAAAGCGCGUGUAGGCGGUUUGGCAAGUCGGAUGUGAAAGCUCCGGGCUCAACUGGGAGAGGUCGUUCGAAACUGCCAGACUAGAGGACGGUAGAGGAAGAUGGAAUUCCCGGUGUAGUAGUGAAAUGCGUAGAUAUCGGGAGGAACACCAGUGGCGAAGGCGGUCUUCUGGGCCGUUCCUGACGCUGAGACGCGAAAGCAUGGGUAGCGAACGGGAUUAGAUACCCGCGUAGUC